GAUGAACGCUGGCGGCGUGCCUAAUACAUGCAAGUCGAGCGAACGGACGAGAAGCUUGCUUCUCUGAUGUUAGCGGCGGACGGGUGAGUAACACGUGGAUAACCUACCUAUAAGACUGGGAUAACUUCGGGAAACCGGAUCUAAUACCGGAUAAUAUUUUGAACCGCAUGGUUCAAAAGUGAAAGACGGUCUUGCUGUCACUUAUAGAUGGAUCCGCGCUGCAUUAGCUAGUUGGUAAGGUAACGGCUUACCAAGGCAACGAUGCAUAGCCGACCUGAGAGGGUGAUCGGCCACACUGGAACUGAGACACGGUCCAGACUCCUACGGGAGGCAGCAGUAGGGAAUCUUCCGCAAUGGGCGAAAGCCUGACGGAGCAACGCCGCGUGAGUGAUGAAGGUCUUCGGAUCGUAAAACUCUGUUAUUAGGGAAGAACAUAUGUGUAAGUAACUGUGCACAUCUUGACGGUACCUAAUCAGAAAGCCACGGCUAACUACGUG
rnacentral:rRNA from 1 species